rnacentral:rRNA from 1 species
CCCCUAGAUGUUCUGGGCCGCACGCGCGCUACACUGAACAGUUCAACAAGUCUUAACCUUGGCCGAUAGGUCUGGGUAAUCUUUGAACGCUGUUCGUGAUUGGGAUAGACCUUUGCAAUUAUGGGUCUUCAACGAGGAAUUCCUAGUAAACGCAAGUCAUCAGCUUGCGUUGAUUACGUCCCUGCCCUUUGUACACACCGCCCGUCGCUCCUACCGAUUGAAUGGUCCGGUGAAGUGUUCGGACCGCGGCGGGGCGGACGGUUCGCCGUCAGCCCCACGGCGGGAAGUUCAUUAAACCUUAUCAUUUAGAGGAAGGAGAAGUCGUAACA